rnacentral:rRNA from 1 species
GACGAACGCUGGCGGCGUGCUUAACACAUGCAAGUCGAACGAUGACGCCGGAGCUUGCGCGGGUGACUUAGUGGCGAACGGGCGAGUAACACGUGAGUAACCUGCCCUUGCCUCUGGGAUAGCUGCGGGAAACUGUCACAAAUACCGGAUACGACCCUCGGAGGCAUCUCCUGGGGGUGGAAAGAAUGUCGGUCAAGGAUGGACUCGCGGCCUAUCAGCUAGUUGGUGAGGUAAAGGCUCACCAAGGCGACGACCGGUAGCCGGCCGGAGGGGGUGACCGGCCACACUGGGACUAAGACACGGCACAGACUCCUACGGGAUGCAGCAGUGGGGAAUGUUGCACAAUGGGCGCAAGCCUGAUGCAGCAACGCCGCGUGAGGGAUGACGGCCUUCGGGUUGUAGACCUCUUUUAGCAGGGAAGAAGCGAAAGUGACGGUACCUGCAGAAAAAGCACCGGCUAACUACGUGCCAGCCGCCGCUGUAA